GCAGAAGACGCUGGCAUACAUGUUGACCAGCACCAAGUAGCUGCUGAUCUUGCACAAGGCGUUGCCAAAGGGCCAGUGAUAGCCGAGAGCCGUGUAGACUGCCCACAGGGGCAAAGUGGCCACAAAGGCCAGGUCAGCCAGGGCCAGGUUACCGAUGUAAGUGUCCGCCGCCCUCCUCUUGGAUUUAGAAUUCCAGACGGUGAAAAUGACCACACCGUUGCCACCAAGUCCCAGAAUAAAUACCAGCAUGUAGAGCACUGGGAUGAUCGUUAAGGACGGCUGCCAUUCGGAGUAGUCGCAGUAGCUGCCGUUAUCGUAAUAAUCGUCCAGGUACUCGGAGUCCAUCUUGGAAGAAAUCAG